GUGAGGAAUAUUGCGCAAUGGAGGCAACUCUGACGCAGCCAUGCCGCGUGCAGGAAGAAGGCGCUACGCGUUGUAAACUGCUUUUAACCGGGAAGAAACCCCAGGACGUGUCCUGGGUUGACGGUACCGGAGGAAUAAGCACCGGCUAACUUCGUGCCAGCAGCCGCGGUAAUACGAAGGGUGCAAGCGUUAUCCGGAUUCAUUGGGUUUAAAGGGUGCGUAGGCGGAGCGUUAAGUCAGUGGUGAAAUCCUGCAGCUUAACUGUAGACUUGCCAGUGAUACUGGCGCUUUUGAGUGCGCUUUAAGUGGGCGGAAUGUGCCGUGUAGCGGUGAAAUGCUUAGAGAUGGCACAGAACACCAAUUGCGAGGGCAGCUCACUAAGGCGAUACUGACGCUGAGGCACGAAAGCGUGGGGAUCGAACAGGAUUAGAUACCCCAGUAGUCC
rnacentral:rRNA from 1 species